UACGGGGGGUGCGAGCGUUGUCCGGAAUCACUGGGCGUAAAGGGCGCGUAGGUGGCGUCGUAAGUCUGUGGUGAAAGCCCGGAGCUCAACUCCGGGUCUGCCGCGGAUACUGCGAGGCUUGAGUGCUGUAGAGGGGGGUAGAAUGCCGGGUGUAGCGGUGGAAUGCGUAGAGAUCGGGAGGAACACCAGUGGCGAAGGCGGCCUUCUGGACCAGCACUGACACUCAAGCACGAAAGCGUGGGGAGCAAACAGG
rnacentral:rRNA from 1 species